rnacentral:lncRNA from 1 species
CGUGCCGCACGCACCUUCUGUUGUAUCCCAACCACAGGCUGGCCAGAUUCUGGAUGAAGAUGGAGGGGAUUCUGGGGAUUCUGGAUUUGGGAUUCAAGAUCAGCAGUCUGAGGCAGAGGUUAGCUCAGACAUGCAGUUGCAGGAUGAGCUGCUGAUUCCAGGAGAAACAGAUAACGGUCAAGCUGACAUGAGAAAUAUUGAGGGAGAGACUUCAGCCUUGGAAAAUAAUGAGGAUAACGGUUUAGCUUCUGACCAGGUGCAAGAUAACGAGGAGUUAUCUAGAGAGGACCGUUUGUCUUGGAUGGGUUCCCAGGUCCGUAGAAGUGAGCGUUUGGCGCGCAAACUUGAAUCUAGCUGUGGGAAGAGGAAUGCAUUCCUAAGUUGUUAUUAAAGCAUGCUUUCACAGACUAUUCUUUGUCAGUACAAUUUCAUCGCUUCAUCUGUGUGGAAGUUCUACCUAGCCAGCGUUCUUGAAUCUUUGGGCCUUGUUCUUUGGACUCUUUGCCUUGUGGUUUAUCGUGGAUUCUUGGACCUUGUUCUUGGACUCUAUGGACUAAUUCUUUGCCUUAUGGAUUAUUGUUCCUGCUAUGCUCUUCGAACCUAUGGACUUAGCCCUUUUGGAUUAAUAGACAUUUAUGAACUUUGUGAAUCUCUUGGACCUAUUGACUCUUUCACUACAAUUUUGAAUUACCUUUUGAUUGCUUGCUUUAUUUACAUUCUGCUUUGCUUAAUAAAAACUUCAAAAGACUAUCUGUGUGUCUGACUGGGUAUCUAUAGCAAGGUGAACUUAGUCUGAGGUGCGUCACCUUCCUCGGCGGAGGAGGAGGGAGCUGCUGCUGUAGGGGUUGGAUAAAUGGUUUCUAUGGGUUGCAUGUGGCCCCAGGGCCUUAGUUUGGGGACCCCUGCUUUAGGGGAUCAUUUCUCCAUAAUUUUUAGGCCUGUCAGCAUGAAACUCACCUCACUUAUACAGGCCACAUUUUCUACUGCGAGGCUGGCAAGUUUCAGAACAUUUCAUCAAUCCAGUAAUUUUUUUGGAAUUUUAAAAAGUUUUACCAUAACAUUUUUUUAAAAAAACACACACACACACAAGGGGUGGUUUUGGGAGCUGAAGUCCCAAACUCAUGCCACAAGAGGAGAGGAGAAUGGACAUAGUCAACCAGGCCUCUUUUUUUUCGUGUCAGGAGCAACUUGAGUUGCUUCUGGAGUGAGAGAAUUGGCUGUCUGCAAGGCUGUUGCCCAGGGGACACCCGGAUGUUUUGAUGUUUUUACCAUCCUUGUGGGA